rnacentral:lncRNA from 1 species
AUAAUAAUUAUAUGCGAUUUAUAUAUAUAUAUAUAUAUAUAUAGCCUACUUUAUCUCUGUUUCUAAACUUUCUGAGCAUGUCACACUGCAGGACGCAGCUGUCACCGACUGACACAUUAGAUUGACUAGACCAAUACAGUGUGAUGAAUGUUAGCAAAAGAUCAGAUUAAGAGAUUUGUUGAAUCUUUGCUGCUCUCUCGUGAUAUUCUGUCUGAUUCAUUCCACAGUGAGGAAUACACACUUCUCAUUGGCAGGCAGCUCACAUUCUCUGGCUCGGAGACUCCCAGCACAUGUCACAGUUGACUUCUGUUGAUUCAGAGGUAGAGCGAGUACUCUCAGAGUGUUGCUAACCACAGGCCAGUCUGGCACACAAUUUUUCUAUCCGUCUUUUUCUCAUUGUCUGUUAAUUUGUCGAUCCACUGUUUUUCCACCGUGUUCAUAUAAGGACACAAGCACACUGAUCAUUGAAUGAUUUGGACUACAUCGGUGCUAUUAGGAGCUUGUCCAAAGACAGAGGCAGACACACCUGGGCUGCAUGAAGAAGACAGCAGACAAACUCGAUAUAACCUUCCAGGAACACGUCUUAAUACAAGUGAACAGAUACACUUGUACAGAUGCAGUCAUUUCCUCUUUAUCUCGAGGUUACUCAUGGAGGGCUUCAUUGUGACAGUUGGAUGACAUGACCAUAUUUUAAGGAAUAUAAGAUGGAUGAGGAAUGGCAAGCUCUCAGUAUAAGUGAGUUUUGGCUGUGAACGUUUUGAAUGUACUGCUCCUCCAUGUGGCUGUUAUGGGAACUGCAAUGGCCGCUAUAAUAAUUACAAUGCGAUAUUCAUUAUUCUAGGGCUCUGUUCAUUACUCUCUCUCUCUAUGUGUGUGUGUGUGUGUGUGUGUUUAUUUAUUAAUCAAUUUGUACUGUACUGCAUCUCUGUUCCUCUGAAGAAAUGCAGGAGACACAUCUUUCUCCUCUCAUGCCAUGUGAGCCACAGACUCUGAUGCUAUCAGAGAUCCACUUCCACUUCAGAGUGCAAACUUUCAUCUAGCGGCGGUCUCACUGUAAACACAGGAACAAAACACUCAUCCACACAUUUAAAAAUAACAGGACAAUACAAUGUGUCACUGUUGCUUUUUUUGUUUAAAUAGGAAAUUAAAUUUAGUUUCGGUGUCAUUUUGCGUCGCUUGUAACCUGAUGGAAAGAGAAUGGAUGUCCAGCAUCCUUCUCCACUUCCUCCACCAUGCCUCGUCAUGACGUCUCAGCGGUCUGC